GGAGCGUAGAGCUCAGGUGGUAGAGCACAUGCUUAGUGUGCACAAGAUCCUGGGUUCAAUCCCCAGUGCCUCUU
rfam:Camelus ferus unplaced genomic scaffold scaffold951, whole genome shotgun sequence.